UGAAGGCAUCAGGUAAUGGCGCAGAGGGUUCGAUUCUGGCUCAGAUUGAACGCUGGCGGGAUGCUUUACACAUGCAAGUCGGAGCGGCAGCACGGACUUCGGGUCUGGUGGCGGAGGUAACGGCGAACGGGUGGAAAUAAUGUAUCGGAACGUGCCUAGUAGCGGGGGAUAACUGCGGCGCUGGCUACCGCGCUGCGCAUGGGGAAAGCGGGACCUUCGGGCCUCGCACUAUUAGAGCGGCCGAUAUCGGAUUAGCUAGUUGGUGGGUAACGGCUCACCAAGGCGACGAUCCGUAGCUGGCUUGAGAAGGACGACCAGCCACACACUGGGACUGGGACACGGCCCGAACUCCUGCGGGAGGCAGCAGUGGGGAAUUUUGGACAAUGGGGGAAACCUGAUCCAGCCAUCCCGCGUGUACGUGAAGGCCUUCCGGGUUGUAAAGCACUUUUGGCAGGAAAGAAACGGCACGGGAUAUUACGUGCAACUGACAGUACCUGCAGAAUAGCACCAUUCAACUACGUGCCAGCAGCCGCGGUAAUACGUAGGGUGCAAGCGUUAAUUAUCGGAAUUACUGGGCGUAAAGCGUGCGCGGGCGGUUCGGAAAGAAGAUAUGAAAUCCCGGAAGCUUAACUUUGGAACUGCAUUUUUAACUACCGAGCUAGAGUGUGUCCAGAGGGAGGUGGAAUUCCGCGUGUAGCAGUGAAAUGCGUAGAUAUGCGGAGGAACACCGAUGGCGAAGGCUAGCCUCCUGGGAUAACACACUGACGCUCAUGCACACGAAAGCGUGGGGAGCAAACAGGAUUAAGAUGCCCUGGUGAUCCACGCCCUAAACGAUGUCAACUAGCUGUUGGGGCCUUCGGGCCUUGGUAGCGCAGCCGUGAAGUUGACCAGCCCUACAAGGAGUACAAGGUCUCAUGAAUUUUAAAACUCAAAGGAAUGACGGGGACCCGCACAAGCGGUGGAUGAUGUGGACAAUUCGUGCAACGCGAAGAACCUUACCUACCGCUCCGACAUGUCUGGAAUCCCGAAGAGAUUUGGGAGUGCUCGCAGAACCGGAACACAGGUGCUGCAUGGCUGUGUCAGCUCGUGUCGUGAGAUGUUGGGUUUAAGUCCGCAACGAGCGCAACCCUUGUCAUUAGUUGCUACGAGGCACUCUAUUAAGGACUGCCGGUGACAAACCGGAGGAAGGUGGGGAUGACGUCAGAUCCUCAUGGCCCUUAUGGGUAGGGCUUCACACGUCAUACAAUGAAUGGUCGGGACAGAGGGUCGCCAACCCGCGAGGGGGAGCCAAUCCCAGAAACCCGAUCGUAGUCGGAUCGCAGUCCUGACUCGACUGCGUAGGUGGAGAUCGCUAGUAAUCGCGGAUCAAUAUGUCGCGGUGAAUACGUUCCCGGGUCUUGUACCGCCCGUCACACCAUGGGAGUGGGGUUUUGCAGAAGUAGUUAGCUAACCGUAAGGAGGGCGAUUACACGAUAAGGAUUCACUGACUGGGGUGAAGUCAUGUCGUCAA
rnacentral:rRNA from 1 species